rnacentral:hammerhead_ribozyme from 1 species
AUCCAGAUGACUAGUCCAAAUAGGACGAAAUCCGCAUCAUGGAU